rnacentral:rRNA from 1 species
CCUACGGGAGGCAGCAGUGGGGAAUAUUGGACAAUGGGCGCAAGCCUGAUCCAGCCAUACCGCGUGGGUGAAGAAGGCCUUCGGGUUGUAAAGCCCUUUUGUUGGGAAAGAAAAGCAUUCGGUUAAUACCCGGGUGUUCUGACGGUACCCAAAGAAUAAGCACCGGCUAACUUCGUGCCAGCAGCCGCGGUAAUACGAAGGGUGCAAGCGUUACUCGGAAUUACUGGGCGUAAAGCGUGCGUAGGUGGUGGUUUAAGUCCGUUGUGAAAGCCCUGGGCUCAACCUGGGAAUUGCAGUGGAUACUGGAUCACUAGAGUGUGGUAGAGGAUAGUGGAAUUUCCGGUGUAGCAGUGAAAUGCGUAGAGAUCGGAAGGAACAUCUGUGGCGAAGGCGACUAUCUGGGCCAACACUGACACUGAGGCACGAAAGCGUGGGGAGCAAACAGGAUUAGAUA